UACGUAGGGACCGAGCGUUGUCCGGAUUCAUUGGGCGUAAAGAGCUCGUAGGCGGCCACUCAAGUCGAAUGUGAAACCUCGAGGCUUAACCUCGAGCCUGCAUUCGAUACUGGGCGGCUAGAGUCUGGUAGGGGGAUCUGGAAUUCCUGGUGUAGCGGUGGAAUGCGCAGAUAUCUGGAGGAACACCGGUGGCGAAGGCGGCAUCCUGGGCCGGUAUUGACGCUGAGGAGCGAAAGCCAGGGGAGCAAACGGG
rnacentral:rRNA from 1 species